rnacentral:lncRNA from 1 species
UUUCAUAUUCAAGAUAUUCCACGUAUUCAUUCAUUCAUUCAAUUAUAAUCAUCCAUUUACAUGGCAUGUGGAUAAAGUAUCCCAUCACAUGAAUACUUGGAAGUUCUAAGGAAAAGGACGACUAUGUCUCACUACAAGGACACCAAUUUUCAUUCACAUCCAGUGUUAUAUUCAUUACAAAUCAUGGGAUUUUUCUAAGCUUACAAAUUUAGAUAAUGGACAUUGGCUAGUGUUGCCCAAUGCAUGGAACAGCUGCGCCAGAGCUCGUCUUCUGUGCAUGAAAAA